GCCGGGGUGAGUGUGAGUGUGAGAGCGACCACAGCCCGGCAGGUCCCGAGGCGCUAGCUGGGACUCUGCCACGGAAAGUUCCCAGUCCCCGGCCGCAGGAUGGGAAGGUCCCUUGGGGCUUCCUGGUAAUGAAUGACCUGAGAGCAACACCGCCACAACCUGCGGGAAAAGGAGAGUCGUUUUCCCGACCCCGAGAUCUGCAGGAUUGAAAUGACAUGUUUUGAGGUCUUCAAGCUGACUCAUCAGAAUCCUGGAGCAUUUUUUAAAUGACG